GAAAGGGGAGAUACGUGGGAAGCAUUCAAACCAGAGCAACUCCAUUUUGAGUAAGGGCUAAGAAAAAUGAAGCUGGAUCACCAACUGGCAAUUAAGGGCUGCAUAACCUGAAAUUGCCUUGCCCAAUUAAUUUAAAAAAGAGGUCACCUUAUGCUAGUAAUAAUGAUAGUAGCUGUGGUGGUUUUACAAAAAGAGAAGCAGGGCAUGUUGGGAGAAAAGCUGAGUGUUGGGAAAGAAGCUGAGGCAGGGCUUGCAUGUCUGCUAGACUUUAGCUCCUUGCCUCUAGCACUCCCAUUAUCUCAAGCAGCCAUGUUUCUCAUUCACUUGAUACACUGUUUCCUUUCAACCCCCACAUCCUCACCACCUGUUUCUUUGUUUGAGCACCAAUAAACAGUGUGGGCUCCCAGAGGUGGGGGCCUUCACAGCCUCCCCACUUGCGAUGGCCUCCUGGUCCCACUUUUUCUCUCAAACUCUUUUUCUCAUUCCUUUGACUCCACCAGACUUCAUCGCCCCCAGGACCUGGUGUUGGAUCUGAUCACCCCAACAAAACCAAAGCUGUGGCAGGAAGACUGCUCUGCCUAUGACAGAACGAGGAGACUGGAGGAAAGUGUGCAUGGCUGGCAACUGACCUCAUGGGUGCCCAGUGGUGAUGCCCAGGAGAGGGAAUGGAAUCCUGGAGCUGGGAGUGAGGUUGGAGCUGGAAGAACCAAGACCCAGGGAGACAAGAGUAUUCCUGGGGACAAAUAGGAACAGCUGAGCGAGGCAAGGCUGAGCCCCGGGCAGGCGUGGGGUGGGUGGGGGGACAUGCCUGGCUAGAGGGCGGCAGCAGGAAAGCAGAGAAGGCAUCCCUGCAGGUUGGCCCUGGAGCAGAGUGCUGGGUCCCAGCAAGGGACAAGUUAGUUAACUUAAAGUGGGGGCAUCCUCAAGGCAGUAAACUGGAGCCAAGUGGGUUAAAUCCUUCUUGCUGCUAUUAAGAGGAGGAGACAGGUUUCUGCAGAUUCUACAUUUUGGAGAGAAACAAAAAAGAAUGUCCCCAAGUCUCCUUUGCCCUGCGAUGCUGGGCCAGAUUGGCAAGGUCUCAAGAGAAGCACAACGGUGACCGACGCUGACGCUGCCCUUGGCUGAACUUCUGUUAAAUCCUUCGGAUAGACGCUGGAAUCCACUUUGGUCUGUGGUUCGACACCCGUGCAACGUGUUGAGGAGGAGCCACCUCCUCCAAGUACCGAAAGCCGGCCCAGAAAUGCCUUCCAAUCCCUCGGUAUCGCGGCUCCCGGGAUCCGAUGCUGGGGAGCUGCUUCUGUCCAAUCAGGCUUUGCAUCCCGGGACGCUUCCGGUUAUGGCGUCAUUACGCAGCCUGUGGCGUCUCAUUCUAAAAGACGUGAUCGCGCGGAGGCUUGUGUGGUUCCCCGUUGGCCUAAUGGAUACAGCGUUGGACUUUUUUAGGGUUUGGGCUCUGGGUUCGAACCACGUUUGUGGUGGCGUAGCCUAGCUGCAGAAAGCUGAUCUUUUGAGAUCCAUUUUAAUAGAAGUAAUUUUUUUAAAAAAAGUUAUAACGUAAAAAACAAAAACCAACUGGCACGUUUUGUCUUUUUAACAUCAUUUACCUUUA